UAGGGAAUCUUCCGCAAUGGGCGAAAGCCUGACGGAGCAACGCCGCGUGAGUGAUGAAGGUCUUCGGAUCGUAAAACUCUGUUAUUAGGGAAGAAUAAAUGUGUAAGUAACUAUGCACGUCUUGACUGUACCUAAUCAGAAAGCCACGGCUAACUACGUGCCAGCAGCCGCGGUAAUACGUAGGUGGCAAGCGUUAUCCGGAAUUAUUGGGCGUAAAGCGCGCGUAGGCGGUUUUUUAAGUCUGAUGUGAAAGCCCACGGCUCAACCGUGGAGGGUCAUUGGAAACUGGAAAACUUGAGUGCAGAAGAGGAAAGUGGAAUUCCAUGUGUAGCGGUGAAAUGCGCAGAGAUAUGGAGGAACACCAGUGGCGAAGGCGACUUUCUGGUCUGUAACUGACGCUGAUGUGCGAAAGCGUGGGGAUCAAACAGG
rnacentral:rRNA from 1 species